GAAGGUUUAUGCCCUAGAUGUUGUUGGUGUAAUCCCAGAUGAACUGUGGACGUUGACUUUCCUCUUCAAUCUGUAUUUGGACCAAAAUUACUUGACUGGUAACCUGUCCGCAUCCAUUGGCAAUCUAUAUCGCAUGCAGUACCUGAGUUUUGGCAUCAAUGCAUUAUCAGGGACAGUUCCAAAGGAACUUGGAAAUCUUACGGAUUUAAUCUUAUUAUAAG